rnacentral:rRNA from 1 species
UAUUGCUCAAUGGGGGAAACUCUGAAGCAGCAACGCCGCGUGGAGGAUGACACUUUUCGGAGCGUAAACCCCCUUCGUUAGGGAAGAACAAUGACGGUACCUAACGAAUAAGCACCCGCUACCUCCGUGCCAGCAGCCGCGGUAAGACGGAGGGUGCAAGCGUUACUCGGAAUCACUGGGCGUAAAGGACGCGUAGGCGGAUUAUCAAGGCUCUUGUGAAAUCCUAUGGCUUAACCAUAGAACUGCUUGGGAAACUGAUAAUCUAGAGUGAGGGAGAGGCAGAUGGAAUUGGUGGUGUAGGGGUAAAAUCCGUAGAGAUCACCAGGAAUACCCAUUGCGAAGGCGAUCUGCUGGAACUCAACUGACGCUAAUGCGUGAAAGCGUGGGGAGCAAACAGG